ACAAAAUGGGAGUGCAAUUGAAAAAACAGCCGGUCUCUCUUCCCUCUCUCUCACUCGGUCUCUCUCUUCCCUCUUGCUCAUCUCGUUCAGUGACUCCGUCUGAAACCCUAACCAUCGAUCCCUCAUCCCUGAUCCUCUGUCUAUCUGUGUCUGGACCCUCUCCUCUCCUUCCCAGCCUCUGCCGCUCCGCGCACCUCCGUGACCCGUGACCCGCGACUUCCUAUCGCCAUUUCGAGUCUCGACCCACGACUUCCUUUGCAAGGGAGGACCUUUCUUUCUUUUUAUUUGAGGCUCUAUCUGUGUGCACGGUGAUUGUACAUACUGAGGGUUUGUCUUAAAUCUUCCAUAAAGAAGUAGGUAAUUGACAUGUAGAAUGAAUGAUAUGAUAUUUUAAGCUUGCUUGAGAGUUAUUAGAGGAGGGGUUUUGUCUCUUAUUUGCAAUGAACUUUGGUUUUGCUUUUGUUUCCUAUAUGUCUCUGCAACCUAUUGGAGUCUAAGUGACAAAAUGACUCAUUUCUUACGUUUUAUCACAUGGUAGCUCAUAUUAGAACAAAGAGGGUGUGCUUUACCACAAGGAUAUUUGUCUUGCAACUUUCCCAUCCAAAAGUUUGGUAUGUCUUGGAGUCCUCUUAUGUUUUCAAUUGCUCUAAGUUAUUAUUUCUUGGUCUUCUCUGAGUUCUAUUUCCCUCCAAAUUGCUAGUGCUUUGAUUUCUCAUGUUUUUUGCUUCGAACAUUACUAGUGAACAAUGACGCAUUCCUGAACAUUUCUUCAACUAUCAAGCGGGGCGCUUAAGAGGGUUUGACAUGUGUUGCAAAUGGUUUUUAAGAAGGAAUUUGAGUAUGGUGCAGUUGCAUUCGAAUCUAAUUACUUUUCAUGCUAAUAACAUUUCUUACUUUGAUGUGCAUCGAAGGUAGAAACAAUACUAAACAAUACUAUUGAAUUAGUAUUGUUUCUACCUUUGCAAUACUGCUUUAUAUAUAUGAACAAAUGCAAGAAAGGAUUAGUUUCUAAUGUUAUAAUUUUACGGUGCAAAAAGUGUAUGGAUGUCGCAGUUGAUCAUUCAUCGUCAGAGUGUGACCAAUGCAUCUCUCGCAUUAUCAGCAUCUACUGCUCCAGGCAUGAGUGCUCCAUUGAUUGGGGAGCCUACACCUCUUACCGAGGCCACCUCUACGGUAUUCAAAGUGCCCGUAUCAUCAACUUCAAUAGUUUUGGUUCCGCCGCUCAGUGCACGGCAGCCUAGCCAUUGCGAGUUGGAGCCUUCUGAUCACACUUCCUCGGCAUCCAGAGUCAAGGGUGGGGCCUCCCAACCAGCUAAAAAAAACACUAGGGGGCCUAAUCGAAUGCUGAAGCUGGCACAGAGCGUACGUCUGUUCGCCUCCUUGAUCAAGAUUGCGUAUGACUCGCGACAUCUUGGAGCGGCAACCUCACAGUAGCGUCGCUAUUGGCUGGGGUUAUGUUAUUCGGUAUUGUUAUCCAGUGUAGUGGGAGUCUUGGGCACAAAUUCCCGAGGAGACGAAGAAACUGGUCAAUUAUGAUCUUGAGGACAUAUCUCUUAAGGCCAUGGCCUACUUAGAGGAGACCUUAGCAACCCAGUACAAAAAUUGGAAGAUCGAUCUUCAUGUGUAUUUUAAGCUAUGGGAUGAUGCGGAGAUUGCUCAUCUAGAGGGUUGCCCAGUCGAGUUGGAGGACCGGUCGGAGGAUUGGGAGUGGCUCUGCAAACAUUUUACGGACCCAAAAUUUGUGAAGAAAUUUGUUGCUGGCAAGAAAGCUCGAGAGGCAAAGACACUUCUCCACCAUUCCGAUUCAAAGCCCUUUUCGUAUAGGCUUGAGGCACGACGUCAGGAGGGUUCUAAGUUCCCAGAGAUCGACUUGUUUAAAGACGUUUACGUUUGACCCGAUGAUGAGACCACUGAGCAGCUUCAUGCUGCUAUGGUGGAAAAACGCAUUGCUGUUCUCCAAGAAGCAACAUCGUAGCUUCCCUCGGAGAUCCCGAUCGAGGACGUCAUUGUACCUGAGGAUGCAGGUCAUCAAAUCCUGAUUGAGCUCCUGGAUCAGAAGUUUGAUCGUCGUCAUGGUAAGGUUGUUUGGUGUAUAGGGAAGGCGCGGGUUUGUGAGACGAGUGUCCUCUCUUCCAGAUCGACCACAGGAGAGGUCAAAGUCGUGAAAGAGGAAGUGACAACCUUAAAAGGUCAGCUUGUGACCCAGGGUUAGCAAAUGAGGGCCCAGGGCAAGCAGAUGAGUAUGAUUGUACGAGCCUUACAGAUGUCUGGACUUCAAAUUCUGAUGCUAGCACUUGAUCUUGCUCCACGUUCGACCUCCCAACCAAUUUGCCUAGUCGACGCCCAGUAGCUUGAUAUAUCAAACUUAGAAGACUACUUGUAGUUUUUUUCUUUUUUGUUCAGACAUCUUUUAUGUACAUUUUCAUAUAUUUUAUAAUUAAGUACUUUUUCUUGGUUUA